UGAAACAAAAACCUAGCACUCCCCUUUCUCUCCUGCGCCGUUCAUCGCCUCAGAACAGGGGCUUUCCAAAUCCCAUGCUCGACUCCGAUUGUGACGGAGAGAGCACAAGGCCGGUCCCAGGUGCGUUCUGACUCCUCUUUUCUUUUUAUUUGCUUUCUUUUACAAACAAAUAAUAGCACAAAGUGAACGUUUUUGGAAUAGAAC
rnacentral:lncRNA from 1 species